UCCUCGGUGGUGCGAACAGUUAACACGCUGGGCUGUUAACCAAAAGUUUGGUGGUUCGAGUCCACUCAGAGGCA
rnacentral:tRNA from 1 species